CAGAUGGUUGUUUGAUUUAAUCUGCUCAGUCUUGGACACUCAUAUUUAAAAGAAAAUCACAGAUAAUAUGGAGAUGCAGAGAAGAUGAAGAGAUAAGUCACAUUUUCUGGAUAGCUUUCUGCAAGUCUCGCUUUGGUUUUCAUGAGUACAUGCGGAAAGAAAGUGAUGGAAAAUGAAGACUGUAUAGGGAGCAGAAGCACACAGAAAGAUCUCAUGGCUCUUCAUCAUGUCAUGCUCAAAGCAGAGUCGUGAGGUCAGUGAUGACGGUCAUUCAUGUCUGUCUGUCCUGGGUUUGGAAACAUUCCUGCUAUGGCAAUAUUAUGUGAUCUGUUAGUUGCUGCUGUUAUAUGAAAAUUUGAUUUGUACAUGUUAUUACAUAUAUAUUUUGUUGAUUUGUGUAUUUAUGAAAUACUACUGAAUGAUAUUUUUCUUCCACUGGUUUUACAGGAUCUUUGUCAAAUCAAGGUUGUUUAUAGUUUUAAAGUGUUCGUUCAACUUUUGUAAAACAGAUUUGGUUAUGGGUUUAUUCUUUUUUUCUGUGUACUGUAAUCUUCAGCCUAUAUGUUUUUAACAGACUAGAAAUUGACACUUUGAGAAAAGAAUAGUGCAUGUCUGUAAGUGAUAAGUUUUGACACAGAGAGCAUUAACCUGAACAUGAAGAUGCAUUUAAUUAUAGCAGCAGCUGCACGGAGCGAUAUUUUAGCUGUUUUCCGUCAGGAAACUGAAUCUUAUUUGGCAGGAGUGUGAAUCGUCACAAAAUAGCAAAGGAGUUACACAAAUGUCCAGAAGACCUUAUAAGCCCUUGUCAAAUUCUCUCGUGCAGCAUCACCCUUUACAGCUGUUGCUUGAGGUAAAUACACAUGUAAAUAUAGCACAUGGCUGUUGCCCCAUCGUUUGUCUUCUAGACAUUCUGCAGCAUUUAAAUUGACACUGUAUCUUCAGUGCUGCUGAUUUUAUAUUCCUGAGAUCUGUGUGGUUUGGUUUAUCUUGGACCAAUCUCAGUUCUCUGAUCUGAUUGUUUGAAGAGGCAGUAAAUGUCUCAAAUCUACACGUGUGAAUGUAUAACUAUGUCUAGCCAAUGAAACACUGAAAACUGAGUGUUUACACCCUCGACUGUCCAAUCACUGAGCAGGAUGGAGCUCAUUUAUACAUGUGUCAGAUGAAACUCGGGGCUUCAGUUAGAGCCAAGACAUUCACAGUUCAGUUUGUGAUGCGAGACGCUUUUGCAGGCCGUCUCAAAUCCAACCUUGGAUUGCUGCAGGACUUCCUUCUCACAACUAGUGUGCAACAGCUGAAAGAUUACAGUUUUAUCAGAAAAUGUUCAGAUAAUGUAAUUGAAGUGUUUCUGAAUAAUAAACAGACAAAAUGUCCCCAUCUCACAACCUUGAUUUAAUAAUAAUCAAAUAACAAAGAUUUUGUCCAGUUUACCUAAUUCAUUUAAAUCAACAUAUAUUUAGAAAUGCUUUAUUUGCAAUGUAAAUACAGCAUGACAUGUAAUACAAACAAAAAUAAAUGAUACUAUGAAUUAUUGGUACUGUAUACUGUACAGAAUAUUAUUACAAACACUGACACAAGUUUGAACACAUCUCAUUCUUUACUCUUAUUCUAAAAUGUGGAAAAUGUUCAUCAAAAAGUCAUCAAAACUAUGAAAUGACACAAAUGUAAGUAUAGGGAUUAUGUAGUGACUAGAAAAAUGUCAAAAUAAAAACUCUCUUGUCUUUUCAGUUGUUGUUUCUGUUCAUUCUCUCAAAACAACCAUGAGGUGCUUCAUCUUGAGAUGCUUUUGAAACAAUAUUGAAGGAGUUUCAUUAG